ANUGAGUUUGAUCAUGGCUCAGGAUGAACGCUGGCGGCGUGCCUAAUACAUGCAAGUCGAGCGAACAGACGAGGAGCUUGCUCCUCUGACGUUAGCGGCGGACGGGUGAGUAACACGUGGAUAACCUACCUAUAAGACUGGGAUAACUUCGGGAAACCGGAGCUAAUACCGGAUAAUAUAUUGAACCGCAUGGUUCAAUAGUGAAAGACGGUUUUGCUGUCACUUAUAGAUGGAUCCGCGCCGCAUUAGCUAGUUGGUAAGGUAACGGCUUACCAAGGCAACGAUGCGUAGCCGACCUGAGAGGGUGAUCGGCCACACUGGAACUGAGACACGGUCCAGACUCCUACGGGAGGCAGCAGUAGGGAAUCUUCCGCAAUGGGCGAAAGCCUGACGGAGCAACGCCGCGUGAGUGAUGAAGGUCUUCGGAUCGUAAAACUCUGUUAUUAGGGAAGAACAAAUGUGUAAGUAACUAUGCACGUCUUGACGGUACCUAAUCAGAAAGCCACGGCUAACUACGUGCCAGCAGCCGCGGUAAUACGUAGGUGGCAAGCGUUAUCCGGAAUUAUUGGGCGUAAAGCGCGCGUAGGCGGUUUUUUAAGUCUGAUGUGAAAGCCCACGGCUCAACCGUGGAGGGUCAUUGGAAACUGGAAAACUUGAGUGCAGAAGAGGAAAGUGGAAUUCCAUGUGUAGCGGUGAAAU
rnacentral:rRNA from 1 species